UGCGGUUCUGAAACUGAGCGGGAUUUUCCGUUGUGCUUGAUCUAACCAUGUGGUUGCAAGGUACGAAUAAAACAUGGUUCUGUCAAGCACCAUGGAGCGUCACGUAUGCCUUCUACAGCAUGCC
rnacentral:pre_miRNA from 17 species